CUCAUCUGUGGUUUUAAGAGGCUUUGGAGAAGGCUGGGAUUUUGGAGGAGGUGUAUGAAUUACUGAUUAACUCCGCAGGAAAGCUCCGAGCUGUGAAGUCUCAGGGCUGGAAAGCAGCAUUUCAACAGGGCACUUGUGUCAUCUUUACAUCACCUGCAGGCAGGAAUUACAGCAAGAGGACAAGCUGAGAUGUGUGGACUGCUCUGCUGAAGGGAUUUCAGUGUAAGCACAGGGGGGACAGCUGUGAGUUGAUAAGUCAAUACCAGUGGGACAAGGGCUGGUCUUUCUCAAGUCCAAGUCUUAUUAGUGACAUUUUUAGCUCAUCAUUUUUUGUAGGUUGCUUUGUGGGGUUUUUUUUGGCUGACUUCACUGGAAAGAGGAGAUGGAAAAAAGAGAUGCCUGGGUACAGGCUGGUGCCAGACAGAAGUUGUAUGACAUGCUGACAGCCAAGUGUCCAAGUGCUCCCCUCGUGGGCAGUGUUACUCCUCACCUAUAAACAGUGCAAGAGAACUGUCUACAGAGAAUUAAUCUGUGGUUAUUCUGUUAUUCACACAGGGCUGAGACCUGGAUUCAUUAACCUGAGCAAUGGGAGAAUGGGGUGUGGGAUGUCAGCACAGCUGUCACUGCCACAGCGUGGCCGAAGCAGAAGUGGCAGGAGGAUCUGGGUGAAUUAUGCUGCCCACAGCUGGGAGCAGGACUGAUAACACAGCGUGGAGCAGCUCUGAGCUGUGGGAUGAAGGGACAGGCCAGCUCCUCAUUUACAGUGCACAAGCUGUUAUUGCCAAGGAACAGCCCAGGACAGACAGUAACUGGCCCAGCUGGUUCACACAAGGGUCUCUUCUCCUCCCCAAAAGCUGGGAGCACAAGGUGGCCACUCCAGGGCAUCACAAGCAAUCCACCAAACCACAGGAAGCUUCCCAAAGCUGCACACGAGGGGUGGCCUGGCAGGCUCAGUGUGUGCUGCAGCUGCUGAACCCCCAGCACGUGAUGGAUUUGGGGUUUGCUGACCACGAGCAAAGGAGCAGUGACAGAGAUGGGGAGGUUUGGCACAAGGCAAGGAGCAGAGAUGAACAGGAGAGGUGAGGCCCAGGGGAGAGGAAAGGCUGAUGAAGGUGUGAGAGUUCGAGAGAUGCUGUCUGCCAGGCACACACCAGCAGAAACCACAUCAAAGCUUCUCCAGUGUCCUGACAAGGAGCUUUGUCAAGGAGUGCUGACCAGUGAGAGCUGGGAUGUUUUUACACAAGAUGCUGCCAGUUUGGAGAGAGAAGGGAGGAGCUCUUGUUGGAAUGGGAGAAAAACCCAUUUCCUUACGCUUCUCCCACUAUAUAUUUUAAAGUCUUAAAAAAUCAUCCUGAUGGAAAAGGUCUGUGUUGUUCAGCAGUGAUUCCAGCUCCAGGGAACAUCCAGUGCAACCCUUGGGAAAGGCUCCAAGAGUGAAGUUUGCUUGUUCCUUUGGCAGACUCUUCACAUAGGAUGCUCUUGUGGGGAAGGGAAAUAGUCUGUGCACGUCUCUUGUUGCAGCCCCAUCUGGCUGGAGGAAGGGGAGAGCAUCAGCUCUGGUUUGGGAGGGAUGGGUUUUCACCAAGCUCUUUCACCCACUCCACUCAGGAGGAGUCACAGGAGCCUUCCCCAUCUCCCAGAGGUGGAGGAAGCUGAGGCACAGCAGGUUUGCUGUCAGACCAAGGGCAUGGACAGCCUGCCAGCUCUAAAUCCCAAAUCCAGGCACCCCUGACACUACCAGCACCCCCUGCAUUUUGAUCUGCUUUGCCACAGUCUGAGCCAAGGCAGCAGGAGAUGAAGGGCUGAGCUUUUACAUGAGAUAGAUCAAAAGAAAAAAAAAACAACAAAUAUGGGGUCAACUUUAUCUUACACUGGAAAGAAGAGAAUGAGAAAAUACUGAUGAGCAGAAGUGACAAAUGCAGAAAAUCUAAAGCACAGAGUCAGGAGGGAGAGACUGAAGCACUUCAGCAUUCAGGAGGCUGCACAUAAUCACCUGGAAACAGGUAGAGACUGUGCAAGGAAAAAGAGGAUUUCUUCUUGGUGCAAAACUGAACUUCCCUGCAGGGACACAAAGAAGAAAGGA
ensembl:lncRNA